GCCUGACUAGCUCAGUUGGCAGAGCAUGAGACUCUUAAUCUCAGGGUCAUGGGUUCAAGUUCCAUGUUAGGUG